CAGGCAGCACGUUGUACAAAAACUGUCGCAUCAUCUGUACCAUCUUGCAGGACGGGGACAGAGGUCCCAGGAAGUACUUCUUCACCUCGGCCAGGCCCGCGUUCAGCACUCUGAGACAGCUCCCCCAGCCGCCUAUGCCCACGCCUGAGGUCCGCUACCAGGGAGUGGACUCGGGGCUUUGCACAAGGUAAGCCUGUUCCUGACCACUGAACCACACCACCAGUCCUUCAACAAAUGCCUCCUAUGGAAAAUUUCGCUGUAAGUUCCUGUCAUGAAUAUGCAAGAGGGACGUGUGCGGUCACGAGCUCGCUCUCCGCCGUGGGAGGCAGCCAGGCGGAGGCUGCAUGUGCUGCGCCGUCAGCUUAUCAACGAGAUCCGAGCGUGGGCGUGAAGGGCUGAGUCUUUGCAGCUCGGAGAGUCUGGCGUUCCGAGUGCCUCGCCAUCGGUCGUGAGCAGACACACAGAGGAGGAAACUGACUUGCCCAACGUCACACACGACAAUUUGGACACAAUGAAAGGACAGUUUAUUCCUGUCACAUGUUAUAGUUCACAGAUUGUACGCCACUGGUCUAACCUUGGAGACCACGCUCCUAAUGCUGGAGUACCAUUAUACAGAUCUGGACACUGAGGCAGGGUAAGUGUCUUGCCUGCAGUCACACAGGCAGGAAAUGUUAGUUUAAUGUUGUUGUUUUUCUGACUCCGAACCAUCACCCACACCCAGACGACAUCUGCAUUAGUAGUAGGGACCCCGUCCUUUGCUGUGAGCCCACCACUCAUGCUCCUUCCUGGGAGCCGGAAGCCUGGCAAUUUCAGCAACUUCAACCUUAGCAUGCAUAGGCAUGAGCAAACAGCAUCUCCCCUCUAGGAGGGUGGUGGCCAGCGGGGGAGUGGUCCUGGCAUAUGGCUACAAGGUUUCGGGUCACUGAACUGGUCUCAUCCAGAAGGCAAGUUAGAAUGGAGACAUGUGCUUUUGGGAAUUGGUUUCACGUAGCCCAGGCUGGCCUCAGACUCCUCACUCACUAUAUAGCCAAGAGUGACCUUGAACUCCCGAUCCCCCUUCACCCAACUUCCCAGCAUGCAUCACCAUCAGAUGAACUGUUUAAAACUGUUUAUUAUUUAUGUAUGCAUAUCCCUGCCCCAGUUACGUGCACCAUGAGUUUACAGGUUCCCCCAGAAGUCAGAGGGUGAUAGAUCCCCUGGAACUGGAGUUGCAGGUGGUUGUGAGCUGCCAAGUGGGUGCUGGGAAUCGAACCCAGGACCACUGAAAGAGCAGCCGGUGCUCUUAACUGCUGAGUCACCGCUCCAGCUCUGUUUUUGAGUUCUUCACGGGCUGACGGAGGUCACUGACCUCCUCUUCAGCCCUGCUUCAGCUUGUUCUACGGGUCUGGAGAGCAGUGGCGGUGCCCGGGACGAUGCAGGGACCUGUGCUUCUGUCACAGGAAGCGCACCUACUCAUGUGGGGACACGCCAGACAAGUCAGAUGCAGGCAGGCAUGCAGCCACAAGUCUACUGCGGUCCCUGUAUGCGGGAGGUGGAGGCAGGCAGGUGGAUCGGGAGUCUGAGGAUAGCCUGGGCUACACGACCCUGCCUCAAACAAACAAACAAAAAAAAAACAAAUCGACAACAACAAAAACCCAAACAAACCAAAACAAGGCAGAAAUGCAGAGAAACGGAAAGAAAAAGACAGCCUCAGAAUUCCUCCACCCGGAAAUGGAUGUUUGGCCUAUUUCCUUAGAUCAUCUAUGUUGUUUUCACUCCCACAGGGAGCUGGGCUAUGUAUUAUUGUACACACUUGUAGCUUACUUUUUAAACCUACUAUGUGAUGUAUAUAUUUAUUUGCCAAUAAAUGCCUACGUAUUUGUUGUUUA